rnacentral:lncRNA from 1 species
GUGAGUGUGUCUGGGGGAACGAUCGAACAAGGAAGGAGGAGGGGGAAACCCUAAACUCAAGAAAUCAAGCAAUUGAAGCCUAAAAUCAUAAGAAAAUCCAGUGCAUGAGCCAUCUUAUCGAUCAUCUAAGCAUACCUAGUGAAGUGCUUGAAAGAAUAAGAACCAUGCCAAGAUGGACCAACUCAUGGGAAGCAAACGGGUCAAAGAGGAGGCAAAGAAACUAGCAUAAACAUGACGAGCACGAGGUAAGUGAUUUCUAUAAUCACUUCUUUAGUUGUUUAAGUAAUAUAAUGUUUUAAUUAUUAAGUUCAUAUGAAGUUGAGGUCAAAUCAAUAGAUUAUUUUGAUAAAUGCACGAAUGGGUCGAAUAAUUCAUAGAUAAAUAACAAGCCGAAUACGUAUAAGUUAAGAAAUUCCUUAACUCGGAUGUUGGACUUCAAGGUCACAUGAUAGAAUAUUAAAUUACAAUCAUAUAGGAAGAAACGUGACGCAAAACGGAUGAAAAAUGAGAGAGUUAUGUCCGUUUCGGUAAGGAUUAAUGGCUAGGAAAAGUGCAGAGUUGACACGGCCGGGUGGUGAACUGACACGGCCGGGUGAAGGUUCUGUCAAAAAUAUUAUUUAUGUGAUUUAUGCGCCGUAGGUUGCGUUAUAUUAUCCGUGAAUUACGACGGGCCUCCCAAACAUGAUUUCGAGUGUUUCCUUGACGAUUAUAAGUUUUAAACCCAAGUCUAAGCCUCAUGUAAUUUAUAUAAGAGUGUGUUAGAUGUAUGUAAUGAGGUUGGACAUGUAUUACAUGUAAAUGUAUACAAAAAUACGUACGGAACACGUAGGUAUGAAUACAUGAUUGUAGGUAAGAUUAAAUGUAUUCUAGGUAUGUAGAUGUGUAUGAUUGUAAGAUUGUAUGUGUGCAAGUAUGUGCGAAUGCAUGAUUUGGUUGCACUUGAGAAUUAGCGUUACUAAUAAUGCCCUUGGGUUUGGAAUAUAAGUUAAUUGGAUGCAUUUAAAUGGUUGACGUCCUUUUUAUGAAGAUGUAGUAAAUGAAUAUGUUGAGAUUACGGGUUUGGCUAACCAAGUUAUUAUUAAGUAUGUUUGAAAGUGCAGGUUAUGAAUGUCGGACUUUCAAAGUGUUGAUAUAAUAAUGAAACGGUUGAAUCUUGAAAGGAUAAUCGGAUUGAAGUAACUUAUGCGGUUAGAAUAUGCUGUGGACGUUUUAGUUUAUACAACAUUUUAUGUUUGGUCGUCAUCAUCUACCAACGGGUAAAUCCUCAAUUCAGGCGACUUGGAGAAUCGGAGCGAGCGCGUGUUCAUGUUAUGUCAUACUAAACGCUUCCGCUAGCUUGUUCAAAUGUUUUUAGUCCAAAAUUUGUUGUAUUGGUUCUUAGUAGUAUUUUGUCGAAUGAAUCGUAGAAUUGUAUCUAGUUUGAUUAUGUUUAAAACAGGGGAAUGCUCGUUUUAUGGACGGGUCAUGCCCAAUUUUUGUUAAAUUAAUGCACCUGCGUUAUUGAUAUUAUCAUUUAAA